GACGAACCGAGCGAACGUUGUUCGGAAUCACUGGGCUUAAAGGGCGCGUAGGCGGAUGCUCAAGUCUGUGGUGAAAUCCUCCGGCUCAACCGGAGAACUGCCAUGGAUACUGGGUGUCUCGAGGGUGGUAGGGGUAUGCGGAACUAUCGGUGGAGCGGUGAAAUGCGUUGAUAUCGAUAGGAACUCCGGUGGCGAAGGCGGCAUACUGGACCACAUCUGACGCUGAGGCGCGAAAGCCAGGGGAGCAAACGGG
rnacentral:rRNA from 1 species